UUAACUAAUCGUGAGGUCAUGCUCCUGUCCGCUAUGUACAGGCCGCGGGAAUUCGAUUUUAGCUUGGGAUAUCGCGAUAGGACGUGCGGCUCUAUUUUGUUGGAUUCCAGGACCGCCGUAAUGAUUAAUAUGGACAGUUGGGGGGAUCCCUAAUCCACAGUUAGAGGUGAAAUUCUUGGAUCUGCGGAAGACUAACUGCUGCGAAAGCGUUUGUCAAAGAUGUUUUCAUUAAUCAGGAACGAAAGUCAGGGGAUCGAAGGCGAUCAGAUACCGUCGUAGUCUUGACCAUAAACUAUGCCGACUAGGGAUCGGGCGAUGUUAUAUUUUGACUCGCUCGGCACCUUACGAGGAAUCAAAGUGCUUGGGCUCCAGGGGGAGUAUGGUCGCAAGGCUGAAACUUAAAGAAAUUGACGGAAGGGCACCACCAGGGGUGGAGCCUGCGGCUUAAUUUGACUCAACACGGGGAAACUCACCAGGUCCAGACACAAUGAGGAUUGACAGAUUGAGAGCUCUUUCUUGAUUUCGUGGGUGGUGGUGCAUGGCCGUUCUUAGUUGGUGGAAUGAUUUGUCAUAUUUAUUUCGAUAACGAACGAGACCUUCCUUGUUAACUAGCCCGCAUUGCUUCUGGCUGUGCGCUUCUUCUUAGCGUGAUUAUUGACGCGAAAUAAAGGAAGUUGCA
rnacentral:rRNA from 1 species